GCCGGUUUAGCUCAGUGGUAGAGCGUCUGAUUUGUAAUCAGGGGGUCGGGGGUUCAAGUCCCUCAACCGGCACCA
rnacentral:tRNA from 1 species